GUUACUCUUUAUUCCUCAAUCUUCUCCUCUCUUUUUUUAUCUUUUAUCUUUCUAUUUCUGACAUUCUCUUCUUUGAUUCGAAUAAGUUCUCCGGCCCCAUUCCUCCCUCACUCUCCGCUAUCUCCGGCCUCCGCUUCCUCAUGACUCUUUAUGCUCUCCAAUGAAUUGAGAUGAGGGAUAUGAGACAAUAGGUUCCCAAGUUUUCGUGGUUCUCCGAAUCAUAGAGAUGGAACGCGUCUCUGAAUUUCCUCACAAAAAGGAUACAGCAGUAAAGUUUUCUUCAGCUUGGUGGUUGUGCAACAUGAUGAUGAAGAAGCAUCCAACAGGCAAGGUUUUUUUUUUUUUUGCUUUGCUGUUAUGCAUAUUUGUUUCCUUUUGGUAGUAACAUUGAUCUUGCCUAUUGAAUGUUCUUUUGCUAUUGAAUGCUCUUUUCUUUGUUAUUUUGUUGGUUUUGUUGCUCCAAGUUAAAGUAGUUUUCGCUGCUCCAUGGUUUUGCAACGUCACCCGUGAGGAAGUAUCCAGACAUUGACUCAUAUUCCUGCACAUCAGCAAAGGGCCGCACUCUUCCAUUCCACCCUUCCCCUGCAACGUAAAUGCCACAAUCAUUUGGACUCCGUUAGUUUCUCUCAAUUCCCUUCGUUUUAUCUUUUUGUCAUUUGAUUCAACAACUUCUCUUGAUUUAUAUCAAUUUUUGUCUCUUUUAAUUAUGGGUCUCACCACCCCAAUUCCGUGUUUCUUUCUAAUUUUGUAUCCGUUUUUUACAAUCUGGGAACUUUUUGUGUAACCCAAGCAGUGAAAAGUGUUGUUUACAUGUUUUGUUGCUGAGAACGGUUUAAUUAUAGAGAAGGAGCAAUGAUACAUCGAGAAGGUUUAGAAGGGUGCAAGCGAAACACAAAGCAAUGAACAAUAUCAAUGAUUAUGCAGAAUCCCUCUUUCAGUUGUGCUCAGAAAAUGGUGCGGGGCCAGAAAGAGAUGAACUUGAUUUUGAGUUUUUGGGAAACAAAACAGGAGAGCCUUAUUUGAUUCAGACUAAUGUAUACAAGAAUGGGACUGGUGGGCGUAAGAUGAGGCACAUGCUUUGGUUUGACCCCACAGAGGACUACCACACCUAUUCCAUUCACGAGGGAAGAAUUAGAAUGAUAUCAUGUUAAAAAGGCAUUUGCUUAGUUGAUUCUAACUAACUAACUGUUAUGUAAUUUUAAUUUUUUGAGUUAUUUGCUGCUAGCUAGGGGACUUAUUAGGAAAUAAUUGAACAUCAACAUGUCAUUUGAACCUUAUGAUCAGAAUUGAAAUAUCUUGAUUAUUUUCUCAAUAGAAGCAUGAUCUGAAAUGUGAUUGUUAUUUUUA